UGGCGGGCAGUCUGGGUGGUUCGGCGUCACCUGUAACCCGAAAUCGUCGAUAAGCGGGGGGCGAAGCUGGCGGAAGACGCUCGGUGUUGCGCGUUCAGUCCCAUUGCCGACAAUGAUUCUCCGUCCUGCAGGGAUAGCACCGGUCCGCAGGCCUUCCUGAAGGAAGAUCUGCGUACCAUAAUUGCGGGAACCGGUCCAGGCCCGGAAGGGAGCAGACCCACCGCGGGUAACUGUCGCUUACAGGUUUAAGGGGAGGAGAAGGCAUCGGGAUUAACUGGCGCGCACCACUGGCGGCGACCUCUGGCGUGCCCGCCA
rnacentral:SRP_RNA from 1 species